rnacentral:rRNA from 1 species
AUGCUUCCUCGGAAUAUCGGCGUUGAUGUCGAGUAUACCAGGGAAGGCAAACCUCCGCAAAUUGAUGCAGUUCUGCAGUUAUGCGUGGAGGAUCUCGUCCUGGUAUACCACAUCACCACGGCAACCAAAUGGCCCAAGGAACUCCGUCUGCUCCUGCAGGAGAAGAAGAUGUACACCUUUGUUGGCUUCUCCAUUGGAGGCGACAAGGAGAAGCUGAAGUUGUCUGGUUUAGAGAUCAACCCCGACAAGUACGUUGACUUGCAGCGCAAAUGGAGAGUUCCAAACAAUGGAAAGAAGUGGCAGUCUUUGGCUGAGUUUGCAGGCAGCCUCAUCCACCCAUCCUACAAGGAAAUGAUGCAGAAGAUCGACAUCAAAUCGGACCACCUACUAUGGGGGGACAGCCCACUGCCAAACAAGCUCAUCGAGUACGCCGUGAAAGAUGCAUACGUCACCUACGAGGCAUGGAAGAAAAUCGAAAUCACCAAAGAAGGUUUGGAGCUCUGGCAAGAGGCGGAGGAUCAUUGGGAUGACCCCUACUACUGGGGAUAUUGA